rnacentral:rRNA from 1 species
UACGAAGGGGGCGAGCGUUGUUCGGAAUUACUGGGCGUAAAGGGCGCGCAGGCGGCUCUGAAAGUCAGAUGUGAAAGCCCCGGGCUUAACCUGGGAAUUGCAUUUGAUACUCUGGAGCUUGAGUACGGGAGAGGAGAGUGGAAUUCCCAGUGUAGAGGUGAAAUUCGUAGAUAUUGGGAAGAACACCGGUGGCGAAGGCGACUCACUGGACACGUAUUGACGCUGAGGUGCGAAAGCGUGGGGAGCAAACAGG